UCGUACACAAAAUUGUGGCCUUUGUAUGAUUGUCACACAAACCAGAUAAAAUAGGAUAAGGGUUGGAGUUUGUUGCAAUUCAAACUCUUUUGAAUUUUAAUUCGACUCCAACAUUUUUUCACUCUUAUCUAACUUAAAGAGAGACCUACCAAAAAAAAUUAAGCACAAAAAUCAAUUAGAAAGACCUCUUUUUCUCAUACACAAUAGACCCCUUCAAAAGCAGC
rnacentral:lncRNA from 1 species